AAGGUGGGACCCACUUGAUGAUGUGCCAUUUUUGGUAUGCUUUCAGAAGCAAAAAGUUCAGAUUUUCAAUUUUAUUCUUUUUAAUCUUUUUACUGAUAACGCGGCAACAGAUUUGGAGACAGAUCCAGACCAAAGAUUUUCUCUUGUCAAGCCGAAGAGGGAGAUCGAGUGAAUAAAGAGGAAGUGCUUUUUCUUUCUUAAAUUCUAGAUCAAGACCCUAAGAUGCUUGGCUGGCUAACUAUCACACCUCUCACUUCACUCCAGCUAACUAUCUAUACUUUUGUUUGUUGGUCUGAUUUUCUGUAGAUUUUUUGUGUUCCCAGUUGUUGAUAAAUCUACCAACUACAAUAAUGAUCCUUGUUUAA